GCCCCGGUAAACGGCGGCCGUAACUAUAACGGUCCUAAGGUAGCGAAAUUCCUUGUCGGGUAAGUUCCGACCUGCACGAAUGGCGUAAUGAUGGCCAGGCUGUCUCCACCCGAGACUCAGUGAAAUUGAACUCGCUGUGAAGAUGCAGUGUACCCGCGGCAAGACGGAAAGACCCCGUGAACCUUUACUAUAGCUUGACACUGAACAUUGAGCCUUGAUGUGUAGGAUAGGUGGGAGGCUUUGAAGUGUGGACGCCAGUCUGCAUGGAGCCGACCUUGAAAUACCACCCUUUAAUGUUUGAUGUUCUAACGUUGGCCCGUAAUCCGGGUUGUGGACAGUGUCUGGUGGGUAGUUUGACUGGGGCGGUCUCCUCCUAAAGAGUAACGGAGGAGCACGAAGGUUGGCUAAUCCUGGUCGGACAUCAGGAGGUUAGUGCAAUGGCAUAAGCCAGCUUGACUGCGAGCGUGACGGCGCGAGCAGGUGCGAAAGCAGGUCAUAGUGAUCCGGUGGUUCUGAAUGGAAGGGCCAUCGCUCAACGGAUAAAAGGUACUCCGGGGAUAACAGGCUGAUACCGCCCAAGAGUUCAUAUCGACGGCGGUGUUUGGCACCUCGAUGUCGGCUCAUCACAUCCUGGGGCUGAAGUAGGUCCCAAGGGUAUGGCUGUUCGCCAUUUAAAGUGGUACGCGAGCUGGGUUUAGAACGUCGUGAGACAGUUCGGUCCCUAUCUGCCGUGGGCGCUGGAGAACUGAGGGGGGCUGCUCCUAGUACGAGAGGACCGGAGUGGACGCAUCACUGGUGUUCGGGUUGUCAUGCCAAUGGCACUGCCCGGUAGCUAAAUGCGGAAGAGAUAAGUGCUGAAAGCAUCUAAGCACGAAACUUGCCCCGAGAUGAGUUCUCCCUGACUCCUUGA
rnacentral:rRNA from 1 species